UGCAACAUGAAUUAACAUUUUUCAAGAGAGUGAUUACACGAAGGAAGCUGCUAAUGCAAAACUGUUUGCAAAUAACUUUAAGAACAUGGAUUAUGUGAAAGUUCAUGCAAUCAUUUGGGAUUAUACCACACCACAGAUGCUUACAAUGGAGUAUAUUCCAGGGAUUAAAAUAAACAAAAUACAAGCAUUAGAUGAGUUGGGUGUUGACCAAAAAAGGUAGCAAUACUAGUUCCAGGUUAACCAAUUUCAUACUCUCCUUGAUUGUUUGGCCAACAAAGUUCCUGAAAAAGUUGUCCCAAGAUUCGUCCACACUUUUAGGAUCAGCUUCCCAAGCUCUUUGAAGCUCCUCAAGAUACACACUGCUUGUUCCAUCGAAGAAGUUGUCAGUCAAUUUGGAAAGGGGAACAACACGCGGCACAGGUGCUGAUUCUGCUUUGGAUUUGAAACUUGUGGUGUGGAAGUUUCUAGAAGCUGGUGGAAUUGGAACUACCGUAGUCCUUGCUACCCCUAUAGAUAUUUCUUCUAACCGCAUGCUUAGCAAUGCUGGAAGCAGCUCUAAACCAUGCCAUGGUUUCUCACAAUCAAGAAUAUCAACAAUUUCUCAAUACCAUCAGUAUUCCCUAAUUCCUAUCAAUGAUGGAACCAACGAACGAAGAAUUUAUAGGGUCCUAAAGAAGAUCCACGUUUGGAACUCUCAAGGAAGGAAUGGUUUGAAGACAAGGAGUGUCUUGAUAUUUAAUACUUUAUUUGUAUUUAAUACUUUAUUUAGAAUUAAAAAAUGUUAUAUUUAAUACUUUAUUUGUAUUGGAGUUACUACUUUUGAUUUUUAAUACUAAAAAUUAUAUGUUAUGUUUAA